rnacentral:lncRNA from 1 species
UGUACUUCCGUACCGUGGUCGAGACGAGUUGCUUUGCAAAAUCCGCGAAGCGCCCUCUCGGACUUGAGCCUUUCAGCGCUCUUCAGGUAGACGAACAGAAAAUGAGCGCGAUACGUAUGCAGUACAUGAAUGCUGUCAUCGAGAGGAACUGAAAUACAGUACGCGUAACUGGAACUAAUCUGGACGUCUGACUGAAGCAGUUGCAGUUCAAUCAAUUGAAGGGAGUUUUACAACUGGACACAAAGAGGAAAAAUCAAGAAGCGUGGAUUUUUCAGUGCUGACUAUAGGAGAAGAACAGUAGCAUGUCUUGGUGUAUGAGAGGAUGCUCCGCUGACGUCUCGGUGUCGUGUCUCGAGAGCCCCGUCGAGUCCUCCUUAAUGCAUAAUCUGCUCUUCACAGUGCGAGUACAUCAUCUCCCCAUGCAGUUACCGCCAGAGUUCCGUGGGAAGGCUGAAAGAUGAAUGCGUCAAGUGACUCUGACUUAUAUGUUAUCGGCGGUGAUUUGACGUCGUGACAAUGUAAUCAUCUGUCGGGUCGCGUUAAGUAUCGACAAGUAUGCUGGCAUGCGUCGUAGGAGGCAUCGUGUAAUUAGCCCGUAUGCCUGAUGUCUAUGCAUGUACUUCUUAAGUCAACACUAGAGCGGAAUUCGUAUUCCUGCAAUCGUGUGUGGUUUGACAAGUUGGUAUGACGUGAAGCAGUACUUGUAUAAUUACGCUUAAUUCAUCCAUAGCUAGGAAAAGUGCAUACAGACUUUAUCAUUCAAGAAGCUAUAUGAGUUAACGGAUGAUCAGAUAGGUAUCGAAUAGGUUGGCUUGGUGAUGAUCAAGUGGCCAGACGUUGAUAGUGUAAGGGGCAUAUCUCGUUUCGAAAGCCUGUGAUUUGGUUCGCUUGCCAAUAUCUGCGCCUCAUCUUAAGUUGGCACUGAUCCAGCCCCCCCUUCGCUCUGACACACACGAAGGUGAAUAGUAAUAAUAAAAAGAUGGCAUCCUAUGAGGGUUGAUACAUGCUCACAGUGAGCCUUAUCAAUAGGCAACAUGGCUACCUGUAUGAAGAUAGUGCAUGUGUCCGUUUGUCUGUAACGAUGGGACAUUAAAAAAUGGGACGGGCCUAAUCCCCCUGGAAAACUAUUCGAAUCUACUUUUUUUCCAAACUGAGAACUUUCACCUUUGUCGAACAAAGUAGGCGCUUUAAGAACAAUGAGCUGGGCUGCCAAGGUCUAAGUGUUUGUGGCGAUAUAAUAGGCCUACUUGACUAUACAGUUGCUCUGCAACUUUACGUUUCGCUUAGGUGUCAGAUUCCAAGAGAUCGCUGUCUUUGAGUUUGAGCCACUUGACAAAAUAAUCCAAUGACAAUGCAGUUGUUAAAUUGGACUUCAAAACGCUAUAUUAAGCACUUGCCCUUUCCAUCAAUCUUCCUGAGGAUGGGCCUUCUCCAAAACUAUUGUUCGCUUGAUUAAGCACUUCUUUUUUACCCUUUUGAAGCGCCGUAUGUCUUUGACUGUCUGUUGUCACUUAACAACCAAGACAGCUUUCCAAUUCGAUUUGAAACCUGGCAGCAUCGAGGCUUACACUGAUGGAAUUUACACAGGGCCAUAUUUACCACUAUAAAAAUUGCCAUUUAAAAAUGUUUAAUAAUAGAGGUGAUGGUAUGAUGUAAGUUCACUCUGAAAACAGUCACGUCUAGUUUCACUGGCUAUCCAGAUCGUGCACCACUCAAGGGAAUAUGGAGAACACAGCGAUAUUAGGCCUACGGUCACCAUUUUCAACGUAAUGUUUGAACAACAACUGGUACAGGUAGCUUUGCAUCUUAGCACUUAAGGGCAUUUCAGGAGCUUGAACCGGUGAUAUCCUUAUCCGAGUGGAAAAUCAAAUGAUAUGUCAAAAUGAGAGUUAUUGUGCUUCAACAAUGCCUCCUGAAAUGAACGUAGCUUCGCUGUACUGGUUGCUCAUCUGAUGCAAGACCACGUCAUAUGAGCCAUCACCAGUCCAGAUGAGAUGAAAAUAUUCAGUGUGUCAGAAUUGUGCGGAUUUGCAGUGGCAAGCGAAUGUAUUAUAUGCAGAGCCAACCUGUCACCACUCUCAUGUUAAACCCGUACUUAACCUCUACGGAAGCAGGUGUUCCAUCCACAUUGUGCAUUAAUUGACUGGAUUCUAUUGUUAAUAAUUGAUAGUUUUGAACCAAAGCCAAAAAAAAAAAAAA